rnacentral:rRNA from 1 species
UACGGGGGGGGGCAAGCGUUGUUCGGAAUUACUGGGCGUAAAGGGCUCGUAGGCGGUUUGUCGCGUCGGGAGUGAAAACCUUGGGCUUAACUCAGGGCUUGCUUUCGAUACGGGCAGACUAGAGGUAUGCAGGGGAGAACGGAAUUCCUGGUGUAGCGGUGAAAUGCGCAGAUAUCAGGAGGAACACCGAUGGCGAAGGCAGGUCUCUGGGCAUUAACUGACGCUGAGGAGCGAAAGCAUGGGGAGCGAACAGG